AACGAACGCUGGCGGCAGGCCUAACACAUGCAAGUCGAGCGAGGACUUCGGUCCUAGCGGCGGACGGGUGAGUAACGCGUGGGAACGUGCCCUUUGCUUCGGAAUAGCCCUGGGAAACUGGGAGUAAUACCGGAUGAGCCCUUUGGGGGAAAGAUUUAUCGGCGAAGGAUCGGCCCGCGUUGGAUUAGGUAGUUGGUGGGGUAAUGGCCUACCAAGCCGACGAUCCAUAGCUGGUUUGAGAGGAUGAUCAGCCACACUGGGACUGAGACACGGCCCAGACUCCUACGGGAGGCAGCAGUGGGGGAUCUUAGACAAUCGGGGGAACCCUGAUCGAGCCAUGCCGCGUGAGCGAUGAAGGCCUUAGGGUUGUAAAGCUCUUUCAGCUGGGAAGAUAAUGACGGUACCAGCAGAAGAAGCCCCGGCUAACUCCGUG
rnacentral:rRNA from 1 species